CUCCAGUGACAGAAAAUACAGACUCACCAGUCUGGGACUUCAGCAGCAAGCAAGAUUAUCCAAAGGGCUUCUCCUGGAUCCACAGCAAACCUUAAUCUUCAAAGUGUGGCAUAAAGCAGGUGAAGGUCAGCUUUCCAGCAUGUCCCAGUAAUUCUGCAAACUUGUCCAAGCAGAUGUUGAAUUCCUUGUCAGAGGAAGUCAGCGUUCCCGCUCUGGAGUGAUAAGCCCACAGGCUGACAACCUUUCUGGUUAUUCUCAGGUCUCAGAAAGACCACUCUAAAGCAAAUUGACUCUACUGGAAAAACGAAAAAACUUGAGCUGGGUGAGGUUCAAAGAUACUUCAGUGAGAAGCUGACCAGGUCUUUCCCUGACUUCAGCACAUCCAAACCAAGCCAUGAGGAGUGUGAGAGUGACCCUCAGGGCUUGAUGAGCAGAGAAGUGGAUCCCAAAGGCUGCCAUCUUCUGGAAAAAUCCAGUCAGUUGGUGUCUCAGGUCAGCAGCCUAAUCAAUGAGCACUGAACCCAUCAAGAGAAGUGUAGAGAUCCAUGCAGGCUCUGAGGAGCUGCUGCCAUUCCCAGGAGACAGGGGUUUGACCAGUGGAAAAACCACUGAGAGAGAGGAGGAGGAAAAUGCUGAGGUUGUAAAUGGAGAUCAUCAAAGCAAAGAAGGAAGUGGUUCUGAUGAGAACUGUGUUGGGAGUGUAUCAGCACAAGCUGGCUCAGAAGGAAACUGUGAGAGCUUCCCUGAUGACAGCAGUGAAGACCCAGUGGAAGGCUCAGAAAACUCCAUCAAACCAAAAAUCCCUUUAUCUGAUCCUGUUGUUGUUCCCAACUUCUUCCUUCCACCCCAGGAGAUGGAAACCUCCAUGAGACUGCUCAGCACUUCCUCUCAUCCCUCUGCAUCUCCAGAGGGCCCUCUCCCGGAGAGAAGCUCACCCUGGGGGGCACAACCCCCUGGGAGGACCCUCAGUGGAGCACCGCAGGACGCUCACCCCGGGGUCCCUGCAGGGCCAGGAGUCCCAACACCCGCCCUCUCCAGGCACAGGCGUGGGCACACGGAUCCUGGCUGCCUGCACCACAGGGGCUGUGGCCGUGGCCUGCGCGCAGCCCACCGACGUGGUCAAGGUGCGGUUCCAGGCCAGCGCGGCCCUGUCGAACAGCGCGCCCCGCUACAGCAGCACUGUGGACGCUACCGCACCAUCGCCAGGGAGGAGGGGAUCCGCGGGCUCUGGAGAGGGACGCCGCCCAACAUCGCCCGCAAUGCCGUCAUCAACUGCGGGGAGCUCGUCACCUACGACCUCAUCAAGGACGCGCUGCUGCGGGCACAGCUCAUGGCAGACAAUGUCCCGUGCCACUUCGUGGCCGCCUUUGGCGCCGGGUUCUGUGCCACAGUGGUGGCAUCGCCGGUGGACGUGGUGAAGACGCGGUACAUGAACGCCAGCCCCGGGCAGUACAGCAACGCCCUGAGCUGCCUCCUGGCCCUGCUCACGCAGGAUGGCCCCGCCGGCCUCUACAAGGGCUCUGGCUCUGAGAUGUUCCAGUUGAUGGCUGCUCCAGUUCCUUCCAGGUCCCUGAGCUGGGCCUUUCUCCAUCUCUGCCAGUGGACUCUUCUGCAGCUUGGAAAGUCAGCAUGUGCGUCGUGGCUCCAGCUCUGCAUGCAGUUCAGCUCUCAUCCUAGAGCCUCUGAAGCCCACCCCACGCUGGGCCUUUCUCCAUCUCUGCCAGUGGACUCUUCUGCAGCUUGGAAAGUCAGCAUGUGCGUCGUGGCUCCAGCUCUGCAGCCGUUCAGCUCUCAUCCUAGAGCCUUGAAGCCCACCCCACGCUGGGCCUUUCUCCAUCUCUGCCAGUGGACUCUUCUGCAGCUUGGAAAGUCAGCAUGUGCGUCGUGGCUCCAGCUCUGCUGCAGUUCAGCUCUCAUCCUAGAGCCUCCAAGCCCACCCCACGCUGGGCCUUUCUCCAUCUCUGCCAGUGGACUCUUCUGCAGCUUGGAAAGUCAGCAUGUGCGUCGUGGCUCCAGCUCUGCAGCCGUUCAGCUCUCAUCCUAGAGCCUUGAAGCCCACCCCACGCUGGGCCUUUCUCCAUCUCUGCCAGUGGACUCUUCUGCAGCUUGGAAAGUCAGCAUGUGCGUCGUGGCUCCAGCUCUGCUGCAGUUCAGCUCUCAUCCUAGAGCCUCCAAGCCCACCCCACGCUGGGCCUUUCUCCAUCUCUGCCAGUGGACUCUUCUGCAGCUUGGAAAGUCAGCAUGUGCGUCGUGGCUCCAGCUCUGCAUCCG